AGGACAGCAGCCAGAGCCAGAAGGGCACAGAGCGGGGCCUGGGGAGGGUGCAGAAGAGAUCUGCUUGCACGAAAUCUUUGGCACUGCAGCAGGAGGUAAGAAGACUGAAGGCCAGCUAAGAAUAAAGAACCACAGCAGGUGUGCUCACCUCGACCUUCAGGCCGGCCUGGAAGCUGAUGCCGUCUGGGAUGGUGGUCUGGAACUCUGCAAUGAAAGAGGAGCAACGUGGGACAUCCAGGUUCAUUAUGAGAAUCUGGGAAAACACAAGCGUGUCUGGAGGACGGGAAUCCUAACGCUACUGGCCCUUGCCACGAUGUAAACCUGCUACCAAGUGAAGCACCUGGCAGAUUUAUGUAUUAGUGGACUAUGCUUUUGACCACGAGAGUCCAGAAUCUCAGAGCCCUGUCAUGGCCUGUAGCACCCAUGAAGCUCUUCGCACUUAAGAUGGUGCAGAGAACACGGUACUUAGCUCAACGCCCUCGUCUCUGUGAGGACCUGGAGUCCUUUGUCCACAGAUUCUUGCUUCAGGACCAGCACAGGAUGCUGGGCACUGUGCUGAGGCCACAGUCCCAAGCACAAGGCAGACAACUGAGUAACCCUGCUCUCGGGUAUGUGGGGAAGACUCAUAGUAAAGUAUACACAGGGAGGCUCUGAAAAGCAAGGUGGGUGGAGCACUGUGGUGGAAGCAAGCCCAACAUGGGGUCGACUUUUCUCCCUCUGGUUCACAUACGAGGCCAUGGAGAAGACUGGAAGGGUAUGGACCUUGGGUUCAACCCCCAGCCCCAUGGUUACCAGGUAAAUGACCUUGGUCUCAUCACCUGCUGUUCUGAUUUUUAUGUGUAAAACAAAAGCAGUCCCUCAGAGACUGUCGGAGGAGUCGGUGAGCUAACCAGGAGACCCCUGAUACACCCGAGGAGCUGGAUCACUAUGACACAGUGGGACCAGCUAGGGAAGGAACACAGGCGACCUUCAAACCGGCCAUCCCUCUGGUUGUUGAGCGGCUCCUUCUCCCUGCCCAGAGCGUUCUGCUGCCGAGAAACACCGUCCAGGUCGAGGGCCCCCGAGUGGGCAGAUGAGCUGGGGCCAAGCUUUGGGGGCAAGGGAUCCCCACUGCUCUUCUUUAGCAGACACAGGUAAUCCCAGAGCAGGGAGCUCAUGCAGACAGAUGCAAGGACCUGGCUCCAAGCACCAAAUGCAGGAAAUCUCCAAGGGUAGGCACCUUGACGCCAGCUGAUGGCAUACAAGUCCCCCAGAGUCCGGCGGCGACCCACAGACCGGGGCAGAGAGCAGUACCUCCAGGAGACUGGCCAGGCAGCAUGUUGGAUGGAGGGCAGAAGGCAGAGACACUCGUGUGCUCCCGGAGACACUGAGGGCCUCUGCUUUGGGAAGUUCUUGGGGAGAAGCAGCAUCGGGCCUUGGCUUUGCUGGAGUGACAGGCAUCACCACACAGAACAUCUACCAUGAGAUGUCCCCAGGAAGAGGGAGCGUGUGGGAGACAGAAGGGGACACUUAAACCAACAGAAAAAAUCAGGUAUGUUUAAACAGAUGGGGCUGAAAGACUUGCAAACGGGAGUGGACAGCUUGGUAUUGUGGCCACCACAGCAAUGUCAGGGAUGAGCAGUGGGUGUCAGCAGCAGUCAGGCUGGGGGUCCCAUAAAGGGGUGAGGGCUUAGCUUUGACAAGGCUCACCUAGCGUAGCUCCCACAAAGUCAUGAGGGAGCACAGGCUUA